AAGGUGUGAUGACAUCGUCGCUACAGCUGUGCGACGUCCACGAACAAGAGAAACCAUUAGACAGUAGGUGAAGGCCCGGACCGACAGCCAAACGAAGAGAGACGCGCAUACACACUCACAUACACACGCGCUCUCGCAGACGCUCCGUCCCUGUGUGUCUCUGCUCUCCUCCUUCCCCCACCCCACCCCUGUUCUCGCCGCAUGUCGUACGCGUCCUCCGCCAUCAAGCGGCUCAGCAACGAGUACCGCCGCCUGCAGAAGCCUGAGAACCGUGUGCGCGAGUACUACAUCGCGCCACUGGAGGAAAACAUUUUCGAAUGGCACUUCACGCUGCGUGGCCCCGGUGGGGACGACAACUCGCUUCCGUACAAGGACGGCAUCUACCACGGCGCCCUCAUCUUCUCCCGCUCCUACCCGCUGGAGCCGCCAGACAUUCUCUUCUUUACCCGCAGUGGUCGCUUCGCUGUGCGUGAGAAGAUCUGCUCGACUAUCAGCAGCUACCACAAGGAGCUGUGGCAGCCGACGUACGACAUUGCGCUGACAUUGACGGCGCUGCGGCAUUUUAUGGCCCAGGAGGACGAGUUCGGCGUUGGCGCCUUCCCAAAAAGCAUGAUUGCACUCGAAACGAAGGAGGUGUGGGCCAAAGAAACGUGGUCGUUCACGUGCAGCAGGUGCGGGAUGGCGACGAAGGACGUGUGGGAGACGCAGAUGAAAAUGUACCCGGAAACCUCGCCAGAGAAAGAGGCGCAGGUGCCGAAGCUGCCACUACCACCACCCGCAGCCCCCGCUGCCAGCGCCACGGCGAAGCCCGAGGACGCAGGAGAAAAGCAAGACGCUCCAGAUACCGCGUCGUCGCCCGCCCCUCCCCCGUCCGCCUCCCCCUCUUCCACGCUGUCGCCGUCGCCCGCUGCCGCGGAUGCGAGUGAGACAGCUGCCAAAGCCGCAGCCGCCCCAGACGCACCACAGAGCCACAAUGCCCCCAAGGGCACGCCAUCUUCACCGGCGUUCGCGUCAACGGCAGUGGAUGCGACCGCGCUCCAGUCACCUACACCAGGCGUCCAUGACACACUGCACACGCCCAGCCCAGCGGCGCACGAGCGCACAGCGAAGAGCGGCGCCUCCAUAAAGGAGGAGGGGGCGAUGAGCGAAGAUGACGACGCGCUUUCCUGCUUCACCGACAUGAGUCCUGCUCGAGUCGUGCGAGCGCCGGUGAUGGCUGCACCUCCACCACCACCACCACCAGCAGCGGCAGAGCCUGACCGCCUCUACGACAUGCACCUCCAGUCCCUAGUACGCGAUACUCCUCGGAGUGAAGCGGGGCUCGCCGCAGCAGCAGCCGCAGACGCGACGCCACCGGUGACAAGCGCUGUGGCAGACGGCGUUGUUGCAGCUGAUGUGGCAGGGGCGUCGGCUUCUCCUCUUUCAACAGCUGCUGCUGCGGUCGCGCCGCCACAAUUUGCGCAGCGCGUCGUCUUUGGAGUGAACAUCAUGGAAGUGUCGAUAUCGCUACGCCUUCUCGAUCGCGCCAUCAUCGUCAGCUUCCUCUUUGUUGUACUGAUCCUGCUGCGUCGUGGCCUCUGCGCUCUGCUAAUGAGCUAGCAUGGUGGAGGCGGUGUGUGUGUGUGUGUGUGUGUGUGUGUGGAGAGGGGCGGCCGUAGCGCUGCACCGUACGCAAGCGUGAACAACUGUUGCUGCAGCUGUUUAGAAUUUUUUUUGCUUGUUUGUGGAGGGUGCUGAUCACGCUGUGUGCAUCGAGUGUCACGGCCACCUCCACGCUUCCGACUCACAUCUCCGGGUCGUAUCUCUCCAUGGCGAUGUGAACGCCACUCGUGACGAGAGAAAGAGGGAGGGAGAGGUAGGAAGCUCCGUUAUAUUUCCCAUCCCUCUGUGCGUGCGCGGGCCUUCAGCCUGUCGUCUUUCUGCUUGUUUACCUACACGUGUCUGUCUGCCCACGUAUGACUGUGUCUGUAUGUUUCUAUGAGUUCUUCGUCCCCUUGGGCUGCGUACUUUUACGGUCCAUCCUUGGUCUCUCUCUCUCAUCGUGCUUCCAUUGGGAGUGUGCCUGGACGGCCGCCCUCCCCACCUCUUCUCCAUGCCCAGAGCCUACCCGAUGCCUCUACAAGUGUCCCUGAAACGAUGCGUGCGCAUACUGCUUGGUGAGGAAGGAAGGAGAGGGAAAGGAAGAGGGCGGUGCGAAGCCACUCUCUAGCAGUGGGGACGUUAGACACCGAUAGAUGUAUGUGUGCACGAUGGUGGCACACGGAGUGCGCAUCGCCAUCUGUUAUAAAGUGGGUGCAUAGUCCCCAUCCACCAUCAUCCCGCGUAAUCCUUGCCUCCUCCUUUUGAGCAUGCUUCUCCCACAUGCCCCGUCCCCAUCGUCAUCAUCAUCCCGCAGCUCUCCUUCCCCUCCCCCUUUCCACACCCACACACGCUUAG
rnacentral:misc_RNA from 1 species